UACGAAGGGGGCUAGCGUUGCUCGGAAUGACUGGGCGUAAAGGGCGCGUAGGCGGAUGGCACAGUCAGAUGUGAAAUUCCCGGGCUUAACCUGGGGGCUGCAUUUGAUACGUGUUGUCUAGAGUGAGGAAGAGGGUUGUGGAAUUCCCAGUGUAGAGGUGAAAUUCGUAGAUAUUGGGAAGAACACCGGUGGCGAAGGCGGCAACCUGGUCCUUGACUGACGCUGAGGCGCGAAAGUGUGGGGAGCGAACAGG
rnacentral:rRNA from 1 species